rnacentral:rRNA from 1 species
UGUCCAGACUCCUACGGGAGGCAGCAGUGGGGAAUAUUGCACAAUGGGGGAAACCCUGAUGCAGCGACGCCGCGUGGGUGAAGAAGUAUUUCGGUAUGUAAAGCUCUAUCAGCAGGGAAGAAAUAGCGACCUUUGGGUCGCCAGACGGUACCUGAUUAAGAAGCCCCGGCUAACUACGUGCCAGCAGCCGCGGUAAUACGUAGAGGGCAAGCGUUAUCCGGAUUUAUUGGGUUUAAAGGGUGCGUAGGCGGCGCUUCAGGUCAGCGGUGAAAUACCGGGGCUCAACCCCGGGGCUGCCGUUGAAACCGGAGCGCUAGAAUUCCGAUGCCGUCGGAGGAAUGUGUGGUGUAGCGGUGAAAUGCAUAGAUAUCACGCAGAACUCCGAUUGCGAAGGCAGCAUACCGGCGCCCGACUGACGCUGAGGCACGAAAGCGUGGGGAUCGAACAGGAUUAGAUACCCGGGUA